CAACAAAAAUAACCAAUUAAUAAAGAGUUCCAAUGUUCAAUAAAUUUAAUGAGUAACUUAAGUACAAGGUAAUUACUUCUGUUAUAAUGGGAUAGGAAGGUAAUCAUGUAUCCAUAUAGAAAAAAACAACUAUUUCACAAUUCACAAAGAUGAUCUCUUACAUAAAAUAUUUAUUUUAUGUAUCUCAUAAUUUGUAACUCCUCAUUAAGGUUAGUGUUUAACUGCUUAAACUCACAUAAUCCAAAUUAAUGUCAUCACAUAAAGGGCAACAACUCAAAACAAAUCAAAUCUUAAAACAUUAACCUCAAAACAAACAACUACGAUAGAGUUAUCCAUGCCUACAUGAUAUGGUAUACAUGGGGAACAUCAACCUCAAUACAAUGAAAGCAUUAAACAUAACACCCAACUUCACCUAGAAUUUAUACUCAUAAUUUAUUACGUAUAUAAUGUUAUGAGUCAUUUGAUGCAUCAUCAACAUAUACAGAGGAUUCUUCUUCCUUCCUGUUGUUUCUAUACAAUAUGAUUCAGGGAAAGCUUAAUGAACAACAAUGGCAAACAAGAAAGAAAAAUAUGGCACUCAAGAACCGAUUUCAAAAAUUAUUAACAAGAAAGGGAAAACUGCAAUUUGAUACAGGUAUUUAAUUUUUUAUAUCAAUUUCAGAUUUAUUAUGGCAAAUCGGAUUCUGAUUUUAUACAUAAUACAUCAGAUUACAUAACAUCAAAGCAUAACUGAUUCUGAUUUCAAAAAUUAUUAACAUAAAAGAAGAAGAUUAGCUUACCCGUUUUUUGAUGAAUUACAGUGAUCUUCAAUGACAGGGAAAGCGAGAGAAAUUGAUCGGAGAUGGCGAGUUCUCUUUAGCCGGCGAGACGGUGGAGAGACGGCAGCUAGAUGCCGGCGACCGGCAAGAUGGCAGUGAGCUGUCGAUGGAGGAGGCGACGAUUUUUGUGUAUGCGCUUUUUUUUUUAGGUUACGAUUGAAAGAAUGGGUAUUAGGUAACGAUGGAAGAAGGGUUUAGGUAUUCAGCCACCCCUUCCUUUUGUUUUUUU
rnacentral:lncRNA from 1 species